GAUGAUGCAGCCUAAGAAUCAGCCUGUGGGGAAAGCUGGCCUGGCAAGAAGCAACCCUGCCAGAAGAACUCCAAACACUUGCUCUCUUCAGAUCAGCUUGCUGAGUCCAUUUGCUUUCAAGGCAGAAUCAAUUCCCAGGAUGCUGUUGACUUCCACGUAAGGAUACUGUUUCUCAAGAACACUGACCACAUGCUCUACUUUCAGCUGAUCUCCUGUUUUCACUUUGUUAUAUAUCUGAAAGGAGGAUACAAACACAAGUUUACAGCUCCAACUGUAAAGCCUCUGUCCUUAUCAAAGUUCCAGAGCUGACUGGGCAACAGCAGAAAUUCCCCUGCCAGCUUAGGAAUGCAUUCCCCAGCAGAAAGAGUGGAUUGCUGAUGUCAGACCAUACACACCGAAAUA